GCGGAAGUGGCGAAAUUGGUAGACGCACCAGAUUUAGGUUCUGGCGCCGAGAGGUGUGAGAGUUCGAGUCUCUCCUUCCGCACCA
rnacentral:tRNA from 3 species